GACGGGUUAACAGGGGUUAUGACUUGGGGUGAACAAUAAGAAAUGGAAAUGGACAAUUACUUAACAUUAAAGUAUAUGAAAAUAUCACUUAUAGAUAAAAAGGCUAGGAUCAUAUAUGAUCAUUUGGAUACUUAUAAAACAUACACAUAAAAGAGAACUGAUUAAGGUGGUUUACCCAAUAACACGUGUAACAACUUCAUAACAUAGAGUUAUCCUAAUCAAAGUGUUUUGCAGCGGAAAACGUGUGAGAUAUACAUAUGAAGAUGUAUACUCAAGGUUACAUUUCUUGAAAUGUUAAAGGAACACCCGCUCAACAUCAUUCCAUUCCAUCAACUGCUCAACCUGCACAUUUAGAAAUACAUGCAGGGCUGAGUAUAAAAAUACUCAGUGGGCAUAGCCGAAAAUACAACAUGCAUACAUAUAUAAAUUGAACUGCCAUAACAGUAACACACAGGGGUUUUC
rnacentral:lncRNA from 1 species